GGAAGGAUCAUUAUUGAAUGAAUCUAGAGUCGGUUGUCGCUGGCCCCCCAAUCCGGGGCAUGUGCACACCUUCUCUUUUCAUCCACACACACCCUGUGCACUUGUGAGAUGGAGGAUUGAAAAGUCCUCCGUCUACUUAAUCACACAAACUCGUCGUCACUUAAACUGAAUGUAAAUUGAUGUAACACAUCAUUGGAACAAAGUUUCAACAACGGAUCUCUUGGCUCUCGCAUCGAUGAAGAACGCAGCGAAAUGCGAUAAGUAAUGUGAAUUGCAGAAUUCAGUGAAUCAUCGAAUCUUUGAACGCACCUUGCGCUCCUUGGUAUUCCUUGGAGCAUGCCUGUUUGAGUAUCAUGAGCAAAUCUCAAAGUCGAUCCUUUUGUUAAAUUCAAUUGGGUUUGCUUUGGACUUGGAGGUCUUUGCAGAUUUUCACCGUCUGCUCCUCUUAAAUGCAUUAGCUGGAUCUCAGUAUUAUGCUUGGUUCCACUCGGCGUGAUAAGUAUCACUCGCUGAGGACACUGUUAAAAAGGUGGCCAGGAAAAUACUGAUUGAACCGCUUCUAACGGUCUAUUAACUUAGACAAAAUUACCCUUAAGUUUGAUCUCAAAUCAGGUAGGACUACCCGCUGAACUUAAGCAUAUCAAUAAGCGGAGGAAAAGAAACUAACAAGGAUUCCCCUAGUAACGGCGAGUGAAGCGGGAAGAGCUCAAAUUUAAAAUCUGACGGUGUAUUCCGUCCGAGUUGUAGCCUAGAGAAGCAUCAUCCGCGCUGGACCAUGUACAAGUCUCUUGGAACAGAGCGUCAUAGAGGGUGAGAAUCCCGUCCUUGACAUGGACUCCCAGUGCUUUGUGUUGUGCUCUCGACGAGUCGAGUUGUUUGGGAAUGCAGCUCAAAAUGGGUGGUAAAUUCCAUCUAAAGCUAAAUAUUGGCGAGAGACCGAUAGCGAACAAGUACCGUGAGGGAAAGAUGAAAAGCACUUUGGAGAGAGAGUUAAACAGUACGUGAAAUUGUUGAAAUGGAAACGCUUGAAGUCAGUCGCGUUCUCUGGGAUUCAGCCUUGCUUCUGCUUGGUGCAUUUCCCAGUCUACGGGCCAGCAUGAAUUUCGACCAGUGGAAAAGGGUUUGGGGAAUGUAGCACCUCCAGGUGUGUUAUAGCCCCUUGCUGUAUACGCCGGUUGGGAUUGAGGAUUUCAGUGCACGCUUCGGUUGUGCUUUGAUGCUGGCGUAAUGGCUUUAAGCGACCCGUCUUGAAACACGGACCAAGGAGUCUAACAUGUCUGCGAGUGUUUGGGUGCAAAACCCAUGCGCGUAAUGAAAGUGAUAGUUGGGAACCUCUCACGAGGGGCACCGACGCCCGGACCAGACCUUCUGUGACGGAUCCGAGGUAGAGCAUAUAUGUUGGGACCCGAAAGAUGGUGAACUAUGCCUGCAUAGGGUGAAGCCAGAGGAAACUCUGGUGGAGGCUCGUAGCGAUUCUGACGUGCAAAUCGAUCGUCAAAUGUGGGUAUAGGGGCGAAAGACUAAUCGAACCAUCUAGUAGCUGGUUCCUGC
rnacentral:misc_RNA from 1 species